rnacentral:rRNA from 1 species
UGCCAGCCGCCGCGGUAAUACGGAAGGUCCUAGCGUUGUUCGGAAUUACUGGGCGUAAAGCGCAUGUAGGCGGAACAGAAAGUUAGAAGUGAAAUCCCUGGGCUCAACCUAGGAAUUGCUUUUAAAACUUCUGUUCUGGAAUUCAGGAGAGGAAAAUGGAAUAUCCAGUGUAGAGGUGAAAUUCGUAGAUAUUGGAUGGAACACCAGUGGCGAAGGCGAUUUUCUGGGCUAUUACUGACACUCAGAGACGAAAGCUAGGGUAGCAAAUGGGAUUAGAUA